rnacentral:rRNA from 1 species
UAAGAGGUCCUGCCUGCCCAGUGACCAUGUGUUCAACGGCCGCGGUAUUUUAACCGCGCGAAGGUAGCGUAAUCAUUUGUCUUUUAAAUGUAGACCUGUAUGAAUGGCGCGACGAGGGCUUAACUGUCUCCUUUUUCCAGUCAAUGAAAUUGAUCUCCCCGUGCAGAAGCGGAGAUGACCCCAUAAGACGAGAAGACCCUGUGGAGCUUUAGACACUAAGACAGACAAUAGUACCUCCCCACAAAGAGAUAAACCUAAUGAACUCCUGCCGUUAUGUCUUUGGUUGGGGCGACCUCGGAGAACCACAAAACCCCCGCGUGGAAUAGGAACAACUCACCUUUUUUACCACCCAAAACCAAGAGUCACCACUCUAAUUAACAGUACUUCUGACCAAUGAGGAUCCGGCUUAUGCCGAUCAACGGACCAAGUUACCCCAGGGAUAACAGCGCAAUCCUCUUCUAGAGUCCCUAUCGACAAGAGGGUUUACGACCUCGAUGUUGGAUCAGGGCAUCCUAAUGGCGCAGCCGCUAUUAAGGUUCGUUUGUUCAACGAUUAAAGCC